AAUAAGCUAUUUAAGAGCGUAAGGUGGAUGCCUUGGCUCUCAGAGGCGAUGAAGGACGUGAUAAGCUGCGAUAAGCUGCGGGGAUUGGCACACACAAUUUGAUCCGUAGAUUUCCGAAUGGGGCAACCCACUAUAUUGAAGAUAUAGUAUCCGUUAAGGAAGCAAACCCAGGGAACUGAAACAUCUAAGUACCUGGAGGAAUAGAAAACAAAAGUGAUUCCGCUAGUAGUGGCGAGCGAACGCGGAACAGCCCAAACCAAAAUUGUUUCGGCAAUUUUGGGGUUGUAGGACCACGAC
rnacentral:rRNA from 1 species